UACAGAGGUCCCAAGCGUUGUUCGGAUUCACUGGGCGUUAAAGGGGUGCGAUAGGUGGUGAGGGUAAGUUUUGAUGUGGAAAUCUCCGGGCUCAACCCGGAAAUGGCAUUGAAUACUAUCUUGCUAGAGGAGUGGAGGGGGGACUGGAAUACUUGGUGUAGCAGUGAAAUGCGUAGAUAUCAAGUGGAACACCAGUGGCGAAGGCGAGUCCCUGGACACUUCCUGACACUGAGGCACGAAAGCUAGGGGAGCAAACAGG
rnacentral:rRNA from 1 species